CACUGGUUUUAGAGAGCACAGAAACAGCCUUCAUAGUGACUGGUGAUUUUAAUCCAAAUAGCAAUAAUUUCAACGAAAAACGUCUCAAAACUUUGUGUGGUCUGAAACAAGUCGUCCGCGUCCCUACGAGAGAAGGUGCCACUUUGGAUUUAAUUUUUUCUAAUGUUGCAUCCUUUUACUCCAAUCCCUUAGCUUUAGCUUCAUUAGAUUCAUCGGAUCAUGUUAUUAUCCAGUGGAAGUCCAAAGACGUCGAAAAAUCUAUUAACCGAAUAAGGAAAGUGACGGUGAGACCUAUUAAGGAUUCUAGUUUAGAAGCCUUCGGGCAGUGGAUAAACUCAUAUGAUUGGUCUAUAGUAACAAGGUUGCCAACGGUCAACCAAAAACUGGAAAUGUUCACCCAAGUAAUUAAUAGCAGUGUAGAUACCUACUUCCCUAAACGUACCGUAAAGUUCCACCAAGAGGAUAAACCGUUUAUAACAGGAAGAAUUAAAACAUUAAUAGUGAACCGAGAUAAAGCUUUUGCGAAAGGAGAUAAACAGAAAUUCACAUCGUUGCGUAACAAAGUUCGCGAAGAAAUUAAAAAGGAAAAACAAAAGUUUUACCGGGUCAAA